UGGGUGUGAUAUUUGUUUUCCCUAGCCAUACACGUACCCCACCCCUAAAGUCAAUUUGGUUUAUCUUUAUUUUACUGCAUCUGAAGGCCAGCAGCUCACUUUCCUCUUUCUCUACUCCUUUUUCCCCUUUCUUUGUUCUUCCUUCCUCUUCCCUUCUUACACGGCAACAUCUCUCUCUUUCUUUCUCACCAAAAAUUCUAGUUUCUUUAAAGAAGAAAUUAAACAAUUAGCCUUAAGGUUUCAUCUUCAAAGUGUGUGGGUGUUACCAGUAUCCAAGUCAAAGCUCCUUCGACUUUAGGCUCUUAGUUCCUCUGCUUCCAGGUAAGGGAUAAGUUAUAUGGGCAUUUGUUAGCAGGUUUUAUUUUGGAGCAGAGGGAGCCUUAGUCGAGUUUUGGAAGGAGCUGGUUUAGUUUUAUAUGUAUAGAUCCUAAAUUAGCAAUAUGAUGUUUAGAUUUGUAGCAUUGUUUAUUUAGGAUCUAAUGAAAGUGUAUAUCUUAAAGUAUUAAGAGAUGUAUUAUGUGAAAUUUCGAAUUUGAACAAGUGGUGAAUUAUGUUAUUCUUUGGAGUACAAUGUAGAUGCUCUGAAUGUCAAGUGAAAGGUUAUAUCAUUUAAGUAAAGAAACAAAAUUUAAAAGAA